rnacentral:rRNA from 1 species
AUUGAACGCUGGCGGCAGGCCUAACACAUGCAAGUCGAACGAGUGGCGGACGGGUGAGUAAUGUCUGGGAAACUGCCCGAUGGAGGGGGAUAACUACUGGAAACGGUAGCUAAUACCGCAUACCAUCGGAUGUGCCCAGAUGGGAUUAGCUAGUAGGUGGGGUAAUGGCUCAUCUAGGCGACGAUCCGUAACUGGUCUGAGAGGAUGAUCAGUCACACUGGAACUGAGACACGGUCCAGACGCCUACGUGAGGCAGCAGUGGGGAAUAUUGGACAAUGGGCGAAAGCCUGAUCCAGCCAUGCCGCGUGUGUGAAGAAGGUCUUCGGAUUGUAAAGCACUUUAAGGUGGGGGGCGUUACCAACAGUAAAAGCACCGGCUGACUUCGUGCCAGCAGCCGCGGUAAUUC